rnacentral:rRNA from 1 species
CCUACGGGCGGCAGCAGUCGAGAAUCAUUCACAAUGGGGGAAACCCUGAUGGUGCGACGCCGCGUGGGGGAAUGAAGGUCUUCGGAUUGUAAACCCCUGUCAUGUGGGAGCAAAUUAAAAAGAUCGUACCACACGAGGAAGAGACGGCUAACUCUGUGCCAGCAGCCGCGGUAAUACAGAGGUCUCAAGCGUUGUUCGGAAUCACUGGGCGUAAAGCGUGCGUAGGCUGUUUCGUAAGUCGUGUGUGAAAGGCGCGGGCUCAACCCGCGGACGGCACAUGAUACUGCGAGACUAGAGUAAUGGAGGGGGAACCGGAAUUCUCGGUGUAGCAGUGAAAUGCGUAGAUAUCGAGAGGAACACUCGUGGCGAAGGCGGGUUCCUGGACAUUAACUGACGCUGAGGCACGAAGGCCAGGGGAGCGAAAGGGAUUAGAUACCCCGGUAGUC